AUCAGCUAGUUGGUGAGGUAACGGCUCACCAAGGCGUCGACGGGUAGCCGGCCUGAGAGGGUGACCGGCCACACUGGGACUGAGACACGGCCCAGAUUCCUACGGGAGGCAGCAGUGGGGAAUAUUGCACAAUGGGCGAAAGCCUGAUGCAGCAACGCCGCGUGAGGGACGACGGCCUUCGGGUUGUAAACCUCUUUUAGCAGGGAAGAAGCGAAAGUGACGGUACCUGCAGAAAAAGCACCGGCUAACUACGUGCCAGCAGCCGCGGUAAUACGUAGGGUGCAAGCGUUAUCCGGAAUUAUUGGGCGUAAAGAGCUCGUAGGCGGUCUGUCGCGUCUGCUGUGACAACUGGGGGCUCAACCCCCAGCCUGCAGUGGGUACGGGCAGACUAGAGUGCGGUAGGGGAGAUUGGAAUUCCUGGUGUAGCGGUGGAAUGCGCAGAUAUCAGGAGGAACACCGAUGGCGAAGGCAGAUCUCUGGGCCGUAACUGACGCUGAGGAGCGAAAGGGUGGGGAGCAAACAGGCUUAGAUACCCUGGUAGUCCACCCCGUAAACGUUGGGAACUAGUUGUGGGGUCCAUUCCACGGAUUCCGUGACGCAGCUAACGCAUUAAGUUCCCCGCCUGGGGAGUACGGCCGCAAGGCUAAAACUCAAAGGAAUUGACGGGGACCCGCACAAGCGGCGGAGCAUGCGGAUUAAUUCGAUGCAACGCGAAGAACCUUACCAAGGCUUGACAUAUACGAGAACGGGCCAGAAAUGGUCAACUCUUUGGACACUCGUAAACAGGUGGUGCAUGGUUGUCGUCAGCUCGUGUCGUGAGAUGUUGGGUUAAGUCCCGCAACGAGCGCAACCCUCGUUCUAUGUUGCCAGCACGUAAUGGUGGGAACUCAUGGGAUACUGCCGGGGUCAACUCGGAGGAAGGUGGGGAUGACGUCAAAUCAUCAUGCCCCUUAUGUCUUGGGCUUCACGCAUGCUACAAUGGCCGGUACAAAGGGCUGCAAUACCGUAAGGUGGAGCGAAUCCCAAAAAGCCGGUCCCAGUUCGGAUUGAGGUCUGCAACUCGACCUCAUGAAGUCGGAGUCGCUAGUAAUCGCAGAUCAGCAAC
rnacentral:rRNA from 1 species